UAGGGAAUCUUCCGCAAUGGGCGAAAGCCUGACGGAGCAACGCCGCGUGAGUGAUGAAGGUCUUCGGAUCGUAAAACUCUGUUAUUAGGGAAGAACAAAUGUGUAAGUAACUAUGCACGUCUUGACGGUACCUAAUCAGAAAGCCACGGCUAACUACGUGCCAGCAGCCGCGGUAAUACGUAGGUGGCAAGCGUUAUCCGGAAUUUUUGGGCGUAAAGCGCGCGUAGGCGGUUUUUUAAGUCUGAUGUGAAAGCCCACGGCUCAACCGUGGAGGGUCAUUGGAAACUGGAAAACUUGAGUGCAGAAGAGGAAAGUGGAAUUCCAUGUGUAGCGGUGAAAUGCGCAGAGAUAUGGAGGAACACCAGUGGCGAAGGCGACUUUCUGGUCUGUAACUGACGCUGAUGUGCGAAAGCGUGGGGAUCAAACAGG
rnacentral:rRNA from 1 species